UACGUAGGGUGCGAGCGUUGUCCGGAAUUAUUGGGCGUAAAGGGCUCGUAGGCGGUUUGUCGCGUCGGGAGUGAAAACACACAGCUUAACUGUGUGCUUGCUUCCGAUACGGGCAGACUAGAGGUAUGCAGGGGAGAACGGAAUUCCUGGUGUAGCGGUGAAAUGCGCAGAUAUCAGGAGGAACACCGGUGGCGAAGGCGGUUCUCUGGGCAUUACCUGACGCUGAGGAGCGAAAGCGUGGGGAGCAAACAGG
rnacentral:rRNA from 1 species